rnacentral:rRNA from 1 species
CCUACGGGUGGCUGCAGUGGGGAAUAUUGGACAAUGGGCGAAAGCCUGAUCCAGCCAUGCCGCGUGUGUGAAGAAGGCCUUCGGGUUGUAAAGCACUUUCAGUGGGGAAGAACGCCUUGGGGCUAAUACCCUCGAGGAAGGACAUCACCCACAGAAGAAGCACCGGCUAACUCCGUGCCAGCAGCCGCGGUAAUACGGAGGGUGCGAGCGUUAAUCGGAAUUACUGGGCGUAAAGCGCGCGUAGGCGGUCUGAUAAGCCGGUUGUGAAAGCCCCGGGCUCAACCUGGGAACGGCAUCCGGAACUGUGAGGCUAGAGUGCAGGAGAGGAAGGUAGAAUUCCCGGUGUAGCAGUGAAAUGCGUAGAGAUCGGGAGGAAUACCAGUGGCGAAGGCGGCCUUCUGGACUGACACUGACGCUGAGGUGCGAAAGCGUGGGUAGCAAACAGGAUUAGAUACCCGUGUAGUC